rnacentral:rRNA from 1 species
GUCGAGAAUUUUUCACAAUGGGCGAAAGCCUGAUGGAGCGACGCCGCGUGGGGGAUGACUGGCUUCGGCCCGUAAACCCCUGUCAUUUGCGAGCAAAGCUCCGGGUCGAAUACACCCGGAGUUGAUAGUAGCGAAAGAGGAAGGGACGGCUAACUCUGUGCCAGCAGCCGCGGUAAUACAGAGGUCCCAAGCGUUGUUCGGAUUCACUGGGCGUAAAGGGUGCGUAGGUGGCAAGGUAAGUUUGAUGUGAAAUCCCCGGGCUCAACCCGGGAACUGCAUUGAAUACUCUCUUGCUAGAGGGUCGGAGGGGAGACUGGAAUUCUCGGUGUAGCAGUGAAAUGCGUAGAUAUCGAGAGGAACACCAGUGGCGAAGGCGAGUCUCUGGACGAUCACUGACACUGAGGCACGAAAGCUAGGGGAGCAAACAGGAUUAGAAACCCUUGUAGUCC